rnacentral:lncRNA from 1 species
ACCUGAACUCUGUGAAUUCCACUUUCAAAUUUUAGCUUCCCAUAAACACCAGGUCCGGAAAUUGCAGCACUAGCUUCCUGGCGAGGAGAAUGAGACUUUAAAAAACACAGCAACAGAAAGGCACGAUUCUGUAUGAAAUGUCUACAACAUAAAGUUCCAAACUAGAUGCAUUGUCAUUAAUUGGGACAACUAGCAACAGACGAAAGACAUACUUUAUAUCCUUUCAAGUCAGAUUCAGUUACAUCUACGACUUCAAAUUUCCAACCAAUCUUCUGCGAGUAUCUCUCAUACCUAAUGUAAUUCAAACCAUAUUAAAAUUUUUCAAAUGGCAAGGUGCAAAAACUAGAAAUAAGCUAAAACAAAUUCUUCUACAGCUUCUAACUAUGCCACGGUAACUUACAUUUUAAAUAUGUCCAUUGCAAACAAAGAAGCCUCUUCGCCUCCAGUUCCUGAUUAACACCUUUAUCAAAAUUCAAGAGAAGGAAAACGUUUUCUAAGAGGCAGGCUAACUGCCUAAACAAUUGCUUCCCAUGCGAUUUAACUCAACGGGUAACAUCAAAACAUAUCCUUGCACUUUUAUAUUUAUGUCAAAUUGAACAUCACAUUUUUAAUUGUAUCAAACUAAAAUGCAUUUUCUGUUAAUAAUUUCCAUUAAAGUUAACAGCAUUCUACUUUUUUAUCAUUUAAAUAAAAAAUAAUUGUCAUAUUUUUUUUAUAAAAAGCUUGGUUACCCUUUCUUUAAACCGCCAUCAUUAUUCCUCAAAUUUCUCUAUCUUCAGCACUUUAUUGUUCUGCCUCAAACUCGGUUACAAAAAUUUCAAGCAGAAGCUUAAAAUUUCUCCUAUUUAGUAAGAACAAAGUCAAAAUUUUCAUGAAACCCAGUGAUGCAAAGAUGGAUCUCUCAUCUGCACAAUGGUGCUUGCUGUGACUUCUGCUGGAAGCAAAUAUCUGCUCCAUGAUAUUAAGUUUGAGUACCGUCUCUACCUUAUCUUCACCAUUAAAGUUUACAUGGAUUGCCAUUGGAUAAAGAAACUUUGACUUUUUGGAGAAAAAAAAGAACACAGCAAGAUGAUUUCUGCAUGUUGAUUUAUUGGGCUGCUUUGUUAUGGGUUUCUUUCGGUUAAGGUUGAAGAAGAUUUUUCUUUUUUUGGUGGGGGCCGGUGGUUGGUGGUUGUCAGUUUGAAAUAAAGAACAAGAUAUGUACAUUAGCAUGAGCUAAAGAAGGAAGAGAGAUAAAGGAGAAGGUAGAAAUGGAAAAAAAAAGAGCAAAAAUAAGAGAAAUGAGUUUAUUCUGUUCUUUCGAAUGAUAUUUUAAAUUUAAUUAGUAAAAAACUAGAGUUCUGCUAAUUUAAUUGUAAAAAACGAGAAUUCUGUAAAUUAUAACAGAAAUUAUCGACAGAUGUUAUUCAUACGUUGUAAUAGUUUGAGGUGCAUACUCAUAUAAUAGAAAUGAAAGGUGCAAUUUCAUAUAAAUGCAAAAGCGUGAGGGUAUUUUGACAUUAUCCCUUAAUUUAACAUUUCUUACCUGCUCUUACCUCCAGAAUACAGUCCCUCUCAUCAGCAUCAUCCUUAGGAAGUAAUGCCCUCAGCAACAAAUUCUGCAGUCUUUUCUCUUCUUCCAUGGCCCCACCCAACUCCUCAGUUGCCAUAGCAAGCAUGUCUUUGUCAUUAGGGAAUUCAGCUACCAGUGACUUCAACCCAUGAAUCUCCUGCAUGAAAAAAAAAGAAAAAGAAAAGAAAAGCAAAAAGUAUCAAGCAGCUGCUUCUGAGCCAGUCACAAGAAUCACUUAAAACAAGCAAAAAUACAAAGAUAUGAACAACCUUGAAAGGAUCUGUACAAGAUACAUAACAACAUCCAACGGAAUGUUAGGAUUUGAUGUAGAAUGGAUCAGGUUUUGAUUGCCUAUAUAGAUUAGAAACUAUAAUCCUGAAAGUAAAAACUACUGGACUAUUACGAGCGUGAUAUUACAGUUGUAGUAACUUUAGCAUUUCACCAUUAUUAGUUUUUAGUUUUCCUAUUUGUAUUACUAAUAUUAUUUUCUAAUUCUAUAAGUAUUAAUAUUUCUUAGUUUAAUCUUAUUUAGAAAAGGUCACUAAGAAGCAUUAUGUAAGAUGUCUAUAAUCUUGUUCCUAAAAUUCCUAAGUAGAUAAAUUUAUUAUAUCAAGAUUGCUUAUAGAAAUGUGUCUUUUAAGUUAAAGCACUCACAUACUUAAAAAAUAAAUAAUUAUGUAUAAGCAAGCAAAUAAGUAACUUAAAUGAAUGAAAAAACAAGCACCCAUAAAAGUUAGAUAGAACACUUAAUACUUUUCUUGCUUGAAGUUACUUUUAAGCACCUCACAAACACCCUUUUAUUUGCUAAACAGGUGGACUGAAACAGAAUAUUUAAAAUUACUUAUAAGCACCCAAUGAGCAAUUCCAUACAUACUUAGUAUCUCAUAAAUUGAAGUCGUCGUCUGGAUAAAAGACUGAUGCAAUUCCAUCUCUUGCCAAGAUUAACCAAAAAUCAGGACAUAGGUUUCUCCAUUUAGUUUUAUAUGUUCCUUAGCUCAGAUCUGGUUAUAGGUUUCAACUGUUGUUAGAAUUGCACGUUGGAUUCAAAAUCAAAACAAUUUAAAUUGUACGGUUGAAUCACAAUAAAUCAAGUAUAAAAGACGAAAAAAUAAUUCAUUGAACGAACCAGAAUUGAAUUAUUUGAUUGAUUCUAGUUAAAGACUCGUUGGUCAAAUUCAAUUCAAUUGACUGUAAGGUGGAUCUAGAAAUUGAAAUAAAAAAUAGUUUUCUAAUUUUUAAGAUGCUUUUUGACAUGAAAUGUGGAAAAAUAAAAACAAUUUCUUUUACUUUUGACUUUUUUUUUUUCUAAAAAAAGGAAAGACAUUCCAUUUUCAUCUAUUUCCCUAGUUUUUCUAAAGCUUCAAACAUAUUUACACCAUUUAAUUUAAAAAUAUGCACCUUUUUGGUUCACUGCAAUACCAGCAAUAUAUAAUUUUAAAUUUCUUAAAUAUCUUACCUUUAAAUACUGUUUAUUUGUAUAAUAUAUAUGUGGCAGCAAAUUAUGAUUUAUUAACUAUGUUUUAGGUCUUCAUUUUGAUUCCUGAUUCUUGAUUUAAAAAAUUGGGAUUCCAAUUCAUAGUUUGUAUCCAAUUCAACAAUUGUACUUUUGACAAAAGAAAAAUAUGCUUCUGCAAUGCUCUAGCUCUCUGACCUAUUUUGACUGUAAAAUCCGGGUUCAUUACGAGAGAAUCUGACACUCUCCUCGAGCAAGAAAAUUUAAAAAAUUUGUCUGAAAGUACUGCACAAUAGUUUCUGAAUUUCAGAACAGCACUUAUGUCUUGCAGGAAAGUAAAGGACUUUUCUUAGAGAAACAGGAAAGUAGAAAAUAACUGACAGAUGAUGAGAAUAACUGACAAAGAAACUAGAACACAGUUCAAUAGUUUAGAACACAAUAUCAGAGUGCUUAACUCUGACCAAAAACCUUCUUCGCACAUGAGUAAAUCACUUGAAGAUCCUAACACCAAAUGGAAUAAUUUCCGUAAGCAAAUCUGAUUGAAUUACUUUUUAACAGCGUGCCUAUAAGAGUAUAUUUUAUGAGUAAAGAACCAACAUAAAUGUCAAACCCAAUUAUCCAACAACUCUAUGCAGCUAAAUAGCUACUUAUAUAGUUGAACUGAUAAUAACAAACACCCAGGUGAACAAUGGGCAAGAAAGGCUUAGAGUUACAAGUGUAUAUGCACACUCGUGGACCACAAAUCUUUUAGAUGCAUAGACCAGUCCUCCCUUGAAUUUUUAAUUAUUUGGGCUAUAUCCCUUGUUCCAGACAUGCUUGCCAUUCUACUUGCAUAUAAUAUAAAGAUAGUAAAACAGCACAUACUGGACUCAGCGAGAUCAAAUUUGAAUAAUUUUGGAACUGGAGUGUGUUCAUCAAAUAGAAGCUGAUCAUAGAGCCAAAGCAAUUCAUUACCUUUUGCUUGGUCCUUAGCUCAUUUAUAAGGUCCAUGGAAUCCCUCAACUUCCGCAACUCUUUAUUAGAUCUUGAAUACUCUGCUGGCGAGGCCUCUGGCUGUCUUCAACCAACACCACAAUUCAGAUAUCAAAAAAUCCAUUAUGGGCAUUAUACAACCAGAAAAAUAUUGUCAUAGAAAGAGGAAUCAUUAAUUACCUUAUUUAUGAGAUUUUCUAGAAGAGUGCUCCUGUGCUCAAUAGCUGAUAGUUUCUGUUCCAUGAUCUUAACAAGGUCCUCAGAUAAGUAAGGUUGCGUUUCUGCCAUUUAAAUUUCCAAAGGCUCAUGUACAACCAAAAAAUUCCAUAAUCAAAACAAGGUCACCAGAUAAAGCUUUGUCAUUACAGAAUUACAGGAAUAGAAGUAAGGCCUCUUUCUCUUCAACAUGUAGGGGAAAAAAAAAAAGAAAAAAUCCCGAUCAUAUAGGAAUGCUCAAAACUACUCAUUUUAAAGAGAAACUGGCAGUUUAUUCUAGUUUUCCUUUACGUACAGUUCUUGACUUUCUUUUGGUUUAUAAUUCAUUUUGUCAACUACAUCCAUGGGAAAGAAAAAGAAAGAACGGAACAAGACGUUGUAAGGAAGUGAACUCCGAAUGAAAUAAGUGACCUAAGUUUGAUUCGGCAAAACCACCGUAACCAAACUUCUAACUAGAAAAUUAUCAGUUAAAAACCCGUCAAUUGACUACAACUAUGCCUGGAAGCUAGGGUUUCCAAAACCUACAAUCAGACUCCAAGAACGAAACAAUCAUCUAACUUUAUCAGAUCAUGAAGUUAACAAGGAAGAGGAAGAACGCACCACUAGAGUACCGCCGAAUAAUUGAAAGAGAAUUGUUGGCUAAAGCAGAUAGAAGAAACGGUCUUUGAUAGCAAGGAUUUGCAUGUGAAAUUGCGGACACAGAUUGAAAGUGCUUCAGUACACGAAUCAAGUAACUCCAAGAGAACGCUCCAGUCUGCAUGAUCAUGUUCCUCUUUGAAAGUUUCUGUCAAAGCUAAAUUACGAGUUACUGCAGAUUGAAGCGGCGAAUAUGGGAUCCAUUUUAUACGAAAUGAAAGAAUGAAAUUCCUCUUUGAAAGGAGUUGGUUUAAUUAAAAUAAUAAUAAUAAUAAUAAUUUAAUAAAACAAAAAACAAAUUUUAUUUCAUCCAAUUAAUAAUCAAUAAACCAAAUAUUAUGUAUAAAAGUCCAAUAUAUCAUAUUAAUUUCAUUACAAAUUUACAAUCACUACCAUUUAUUCAGUUUCCAUUUGUUGUUAAUUGUUUAAAAAAUAAAAAUUAAUAAUUCCUCAGUUUGUAAAUUGCUUUGGUUUGAUUCAAUAGAAUCAAAACUGAAUGGACAGUUUUUCUCGUCUUAUAUAUUACUGAUCAAAUAUUUAGACAAAAAAAAAAAAAAGAUAAAUAUAAACAAAUUCUUCCAGGCGCUUUAAUUAAGUCAGUAGACUUCUAAAGUAACAAGAAAAGUUCUACAGGUAUAAAAAUUAUAGUCUGGAUAAUAUUUUACCUUUACCCUUUUUUAUUAAUUAAUAAAAAAAAAAAAAAAAGAAGCUCCCAUUGCAAAAUCUAAAAGAUUAUCCAGUAAGAUAAAAUUUGAUAGUAUUAAUUUAUUAUUAUAGAAAUAUGAUAAAUUACUAAUUCAAAGGGAUAAAUACUAAAUUUAAUAAGAAGAAUCAUUAUCAAACUAGAAGUCCACAAUCUAAAUUUACAAUAUUCUUUUUAUUUCACUCUUGAACUAAAACUUCUUUGUAUAUAAAUUAUUCUCUAGUCCCUCUCAGAUUUUAUUUAUUUCCAAACAAAAAUUAGGCAGAGAGUAAAGAAAAAGUUUCAUCCUAAAGGUACUCUUUCUUUUGAUUUCUUACAUUAUUAGCGUAAUUGUUAUAUAUGAAUUUUUAUGACUUGAAUUCACUUUACUUCAUGUGCUAACGUAAUUUGUGUUUCGUAAUCUGUUGUGAUCUUUAUUUUUGAUCACAUUUUACCCACAUUAAUCACGUCCCGAACUCAUUCCCCGCACUUCCCCCUCCCUCGAAUGCGUCCGGGUUCUGUUCUUCUCAGAUUCUCAUCUCACUUUCACGCAUGGAGUUUAAAUUCCAAACUCAGGCUCACAAUACCGGGAUAUACUUAUAGAGAUUUACCAUGCAAGAUCUACACCGAUUUAUUUGAAAGGCCCUAUAAUCACCAUACACACACGCUACGAAUGAAUUAAUUCAAGAUAAAAAUAAAACUAAAACUAAAAACUUGACCGGAGUCACGGGUUCCCGGCAACUCACCGACAGCACGGGCUGGGUCUCUAAAGAGUUUCCCGUCAGAACCUGACUACUUCAACCCGUGAAAAUCGGGUCCCAAUACGCAACGCAACUCUCGGCUCGCCCAAGACACGGUGAAAGAAGAAAGAGGUAAAGUUACCUGUCUCGGCGUCGAGGUUCGUCUCUCGGUCACGGCUCCUCCUUUUCCCCUGUCCCUCUGCCUCCGCGACGCUUCCCUUCUUCUUCUCCGGCCUCGCUCUUCCCCUCCUUCUCUCCUCUCUCUAGAUCCCGCCGUCCGAUCUCCUCAUAACGAUUCUGAACCGUUGGAUUAGUCGGGGUUCUUUAGUCUUUUAAAGCUUUUUAAAUCUCGGUAGAUCCCGCGAUCUGGGUAGUCAUCUUGUCUUUUCAUCUCGGCCGUCCACUUCGCUUGCUAUAGACCGUUCAUCCUGCGUCUUCAUAUGGACCGUUCGUUCAGGCGGGAAUGGCCCUUGUCCGUCAAGAUCCGGUCCUCGUAUGAGAACCGCUGGAUCGACAUCUAAACGGUGAAAUCAUGGCCGUUCAUUUUCGGAUCACGCCGCUUGUACGCACGCGUGGCCGAACGGCCUGUCGCGGUUUGUCACUGAGGUGUCCAACACUUCCAGAAUUUAUGUUUUGGCCCCCUUUUUUGAAACGUCAAUUCAUUUAGGUUCUUUUAAUUUACUUAAGGCCCCUAAAAUUUAAAAUUUUCUUCAUUAAAGCCUCCAAAGCCUUUAAUUUAUAAUUCAAAUUUAUUUCUAUUAUAAAAAUUAAUUUAGUUAAUUUACAACAAUUUAAUUAUUUUUACAUAUAAUUACAUACUUAAUUGGGGUCAUGGUGUUAUACUCUGUGCGUGUGUGUAUAUACACAGAAAUCUUUAUUAUUAGUAACUUGAGUAUUCAUCAUUAUUAGUUUUUAGUUUUCCUAUUUAUGUUACUCAUAUUAUUUUCUAAUAAUUCUAUAAAUAUUAAUAUUUCUUAGUUUAAUCUUAUUUGGAAAAUGUCACUAAGAAGCAUUUUGCAAGAUGCCUAUAUUCUUUCCUAAAAUCCCUAAGUAGAUAAAUUAAUCGUAAUCGUAAUUUCACUAACACUUCAACUUUGUUGCAGGAGAACAAUGAUGAUAGAGAAAAAGGAAUUAUGCAUGGUGAUUGUGUUAGUAAUAAAUUUUUUAAUAUUGAGCGCUGAAGGUGUGCGAGAGAUGCCAUAUAUAUCAGCUGUGGGAGACCCGGGAAUGAAAAGAGAUGGGUUGAGAGUGGCAUUUGAAGGUUGGAACCAAUGCAAUGAAGUUGGUGAAGAAACUCCUGGUAUGGGCAGCCCAAGAGCUGCAGAUUGCUUUGAUCUCUGGACUAAGCAAAACCCAAUUAAAAAAGGUUACUACUUUAUAAUAUUUAACCUCUUAAUUCGUUCAUUCUUUAUAUUUUAUAUGUAUUAAUUUUUUCCUGAAUGACAGAAUACUUGUUAAAACACAAGGUAUCGGAAAAAGAUAACAAGCUUGGGGUGGGUAUGCCAUUCCCUGGUGUUGGUUCAGCAAUGAACAACACAGACCUAUACGCAGCGAAGAAAGAAUUAUACCUUGGUUCUUUGUGUGAAGUUCCAGAUUUUCCAAGACCAUGGAAUUUUUGGAUGGUUAUGCUUAAAAAUGGAAACUACGAUACAGAAUCAGGGUUGUGCCCAGAAAAUGGGAAAAAGACAGGACCAUUUAGGCCAGGUAGGUUUCCUUGUUUUGGAAAGGGAUGUAUGAAUCAACCCAUUUUGAAUCAUCAGCAAACAGAGUUGUUAAGUGAUGAUACAAUGAGAGGAUGGUUUAAUGGAAGUUAUGAAUUGGAUGCUAAGAUUGGAGAUAAGUUUGAUAAUAUCUCAUUUUAUCAAGUAAUUUGGGAGAAGAAAAUUGGAACUGGGAGUUGGGUGUUUAAGCAUAAGCUCAAAACUUCAGCAAAAUACCCUUGGUUGAUGUUAUACCUUAGAGCUGAUGCAACUAGAGGAUUUUCUGGAGGUUACCAUUAUAUGACGCGGGGAAUGCUCAAAACUGUUAGUACUUUUUUCUCAACUUUUUUUUUUUUUUUUUUUUUUUUAAAUUUUCUGCUAUUGCGUUUUUGGUAGAAUAUUGUCUUUUACUAUUGGUUGUCGGUUAUGUUUCUUCAGCUUCCGGAGUCACCCAAUUUCAGAGUUAGAUUGACUUUGGAUAUUAAACAUGGAGGAGGACCCAAGAGCCAAUUCUACUUGCUAGAUAUGGGCAGCUGUUGGAAGAACAAUGGAGCUCCCUGUGACGGAGAUGUACUCACAGAUGUAACCAGAUACAGCGAGAUGAUCAUCAAUCCAGAUGUUACAUCUUGGUGCAGCCCAGAAGAAUUGCAAAACUGCCCACCGUACCAUAUUACUCCAGACAACAAAAAGAUUCUCAGGAAUGAUACAAAAAACUUCCCUUAUGGAGCUUAUCAUUACUAUUGUGCUCCUGGAAAUGCAAAAUACUUGGAGCAACCUGUAAGUACUUGUGAUCCUUACAGCAAUCCUCAGGGACAAGAAAUAGUUCAGUUGUUGCCUCACCCAGUAUGGGCUGAAUAUGGCUACCCAACCAAAAAAGGGGAUGGUUGGGUUGGUGAUCCAAGGACUUGGGAGCUUGAUGUUGGUGGUUUAGCCAGUAGACUUCACUUUUAUCAGGUUUGAACAUUUUACUCUUUCUUAGUUGUAAAACUAAAUCUAAAUGUUGACUUUCUAUUGUUUUUAUAUUGUUUUAGGAUCCAGGUACCCCUCCUGCUAGAAGAAUCUGGACAUCCAUUGAUUCGGGUACUGAAAUUUUUGUGAGUGAUCAAGAGGAAGUUGCAGAAUGGACUCUUUCAGACUUGAUGUUAUUCUCACAUAAUCUGCCCCAUCCCACCUUCCUAUCUUUAUUUAUUUUUGGUUCAUGUUUUAUGGUGCAUAGGAACUAAAGUAUUCAUUGCUAGCAAGACAAUCUUAGCUUUAAAAUUUUGGUACAAAUUCAUCUCUUGGAAAUGAAUAUUUACUUUCUUUUUUAAUUAGGUAUAUAUAUAUAUAUAUAUUUUUAUAUCUGAAUGCAAAUAAAACUAACAAGUUUUUCUAAAUCCAUUAUUAGAUUCUGUGUCUUUAUUUGAUUAUAAAAUAAAUAGGAUUGAAGAUUAUCUUCUCAUGUUUCUUUUAAUUUUAAAAAAGGCUACCUAUAAUGUUGAGGACAGCCUGUUGUCUUGUGAGGAAGCAGAACUCACCCACCAAACUUCUUGUUGGAGUGUGGUUUAAUUACCAUGUGGAUCAAGGUGAAAAUGUUGCAGAUCUCAACCACUUAAAGUUCACAUGCCAUCUGCUAUUUACCAAUGAAGCAGAAACAUUUCAAAAGCUCUUGAAGCUUUUUGCUUUGAUCUAAUUACCCUUUUUUACUUCAUUUUUGCCUUUCUCUAUAAGCAUUAGACAUCCAAUUAGGAGCAAAAAAAAAAAAACAUUUUCACUACUAUUUUUCUUUUUCGAAUUUCUUUAAAUUAUUAUCAGAAAGUCAAUUGAAGUAAAAAGUUAAAAGAGAACUGAAGUUCCUUAACUAUAGCACUUUAAAAAAAAAAAAAAAUUUGUUUAAAAAAAACAGUGGUCUUGGUAGCUAGCCACCAUUGCCAUAAUAUGUAAGACAAUAUAUAAAACAGAAAGUGGAAGCCUAACUUUCUUAGAGUUGGAGUAUAAGUUCUAUGUCCCUGGCAUUUUACUGUAAAAUUUUAUCUACUACGGACUAAGAAUUGAUUAUCUCUGCAAACUAAAUUUACCACAGAAAUCUAAUGAUAAAAUUACUGAAAUCAUAAGUUACGUUCAUGCACUCGAGCAGCAAUGGAUUGUCCAUCUUAUGAGCUGCCACCAUCGCUCGAUAUCAAUCAAUUUAUGCUCAACUGGAGCAGCAAGCUGUAAUCACAGUCAAAUUCAAGAUCAUAUAAUCAGUUUCUAAUGACAAUAACAGUUGUAGACAGCAAAAUUGUUAUUCGAAACUGAAGAAGCUAUCAUGUGUCAGACCGAGAGCUCUUGUUCUAUCUCGGUUGCAGCUAAGGAUGCAACAUAUAAAUCGAUCAGUGUCAAUGCGAAAUGCAUCGACUUAGUCAUAAUCCCCAAAAGAAUGACACUAGCACUUCCAACAUAUGUUCUCCUUCAUUACUCCUCGAGAACAGAACUACCAUGUCCAGUACUUGUUGCAGAAGAGAAAGAAUCAGAAAUUGAUAAAAAUUGAUUGUAUGGUCUAUGUUUAUCAUUUCCUAGUAGAAUUUGCAUCAUCUACUAGUUAAACUAAAUGUAAUUUCCAAAUAUAACAUAAAUGAUGGAAGAACAAAAAUAAAGACCUAAGAUUGAAAUAAUGUCUCUGUAUGUACAAAUGAGCAUCUGCUGUCUGACUCUAAUGACUAAACACAACUAUCUGAUGAUUACACUGUAGCUCAGACGAAAAUUCAUAAAAUAUCCAAUUUUAUGCCAACUACCUCAUCAGCCUGUUGGAGUAUGGCAACAGAUACAGCACUGGUAUGAAGACGUCCAGACUUCUCUGUUAGAGGUACUCGCUACCAACAUAGAAUUGUUAGUAACUGCAGCUAGAAGUCACAUUUUAUGAGCUUAAUAGGAGGUAGGAAAACCUGAACUCUCAAAUUUUACCUUCCCAUAAACACCAGCUCCAGAAAUUGAAGCAAAAACACAGCAACAGAAAGGCAAAACUCUGUAUGUAAUGUCUACAACAUAAAAUUUCAAACUAGAAGUCAUGUCAUUAAUUGGGACUACUAGCAAUGGAUGAAAAAUAUACAUUAUAUCCUUUCAAGUCAGAUUUAAUUACAUCUACCACUUCAAAUUUCCAAACCAUCUUCUGAGAGUAUCUCUCAUACCUAAUGCAGUGUUAAUUUAAUUGUUAAAAACUAGAGUCUGUUAAUUUAAUUGUUAAAAACUAGACUUCUGUUAAUUAUAGCAGAAAUUAUCGACAGAUGUGAUUUAUAUGUUGUAAUAGUUUGAGGUGCAUCCUCAUAUAAUAAAAAUGUAAGGUGCAAUUUCAUAUAAAUGCAAAAGUGUGAGGGUAUUUUACAUUAUCCCUUAAUUUAACAUUUCUUACCUGC